AUUCUGUGGGGCGGGCAGCCGAGGUGCAAGUUAGGAUGGGCUCGAUUGCGGGAUCGGGCUGUGGCGGGCCAGUGGGAGAGAAGCUCUUGGGAUGAUGAGGUUGCGAUCCCCUAAACGGAUGUGCGUUGAAAUCCUAUGCGUGUUUGUUCGGAAGUUAGUCCCACUAGGUUCGAUGGAGCUUGCUCCUAGAGGCAGGAAGUGAUGGUGUAUCUGCGAGGAGGAAAGAGGCAGCCUGCAGAAAAUGCAAACUGGCAUAAAUAUUAUGGCUCUGAGACUGAAAUCCUAGGAGCAUCUGCUUGAGAGAGCACAAGGUGGAUAGCACUGAGAAGUGUAGCAUUCAGCUGCUCCAGAGUGCCUACGUCCCUGCGGCUUCCUGAAAGUACACCUUCGCUCAGAACUCCUGAACCCCAAAUCCUGGAGCCAGACAUUGGAUUCAGCACAUGACAGCCUAAGGAAUGGGGAAAACUAUUUCAAAGGCUAGCAAAUAGGGGCGGAGGGUCUAAACACUGCAGAACACACACAACCAGGAAAGGAAGGAAUAGGGAAUUGGAGAGCAGCAUAAUACAGAAUUACAAACAAUCCACACUCUCCUGGGGUGUUUGGCCAUCUUGAAACCAAAGCAAAAAUGUUACCUAAUGUAUCCUCUUCGGCAAGAUAGCACAGCAUCCUCCAGCAGCAACAGGGAACCUCUCCAAAAAAGAACCCCGAGCUGUACGCUCCCCUCAUUUAUACCUUUUAGAUCCAUCAGAUAACCAAUGGGGUGGCAUCUCCUGACAUAUUCCAGGUGAGAAGCAUUUGCCCUAUAGCCCUCAAAUCUUCAGUUCUCUUAGGGAAUGUGAAAUUCCUUGACCACGGGUGUCAUUUACAGUACCUGGUGUUUACACAUUGCCAGCCCUAUCUGGCCCUCCCGCAGCCUUGGCACCUAGCUCUCCUUGAAUCACCACCUGGGCUGAGCAGCCCUUCAUCCAAGCCAGUUGUUAACUCCUUCCUGGCCAAGAAGGGCCCUAGACACUUUUCGUAACAAGAAGGGAUGAGGGAGGAUGAUGGCAGCACCAGGAGACACAGUUCUGCAACCAUUCUCAAUAACCCACUAUGGGGUUGCCCUGCCAAGAUGCAUCUGUCAUGACAAGCGAUCCUGAACAACCCAUGAAUAGACCAUAGGUUCUCUGGGUAGUUUGUUAAUGAAAAACAACUAUGAUUUUAAAAAUGUUCAAGAUUUGAGCAACAUGACAAGCUAUCCUGAAACAACACAGCAUAGAGUACUGUGUUCUCAUUGUGAACCAGGUAUUCCUGUCCACUGAACUGCAUUAGCCGAAGAUCUGAGCCACUGUACGGUCAUCAUUGAGCCACUAUGCAAUUCGUCUAGCCUAUAUCAUGUAUUCUUUUUUUUUCUUUUUUCUUUUUUUUUUGAGCUGGGAAAAUGUACAAAAUGUGCUGUACACAAUGAUGAAGAGAAGUUGGAUACCACAACUAUUAUAUUUUUCUUAGUUAAACUGGAUGAUAUACAAUGAAAGUCUCCAGCUGCUGUUCACAUCAAAUAAUUUAAAUUCUAUUAUUUGGAAGGUUCAGAAACAUCCAAGUAGUUCUGGCCUACAUAGGCCAAAUAAAGCCUGAAGGUCCAUGAAUGUUGAUGGAAAGUAGGGAUGCUAGCCAAGUCUGCCGUGUGAUUUCCAGAUUACACAGUUUGAUGUUCAGCAAACAUACAGAACCUGCAAUGUGCACUUUUUAAUAAAUAGAAAAUAUCCUUAAUUUCUGACUUCAGAAAUUUCUAGGCAAAGUGUCAAGGCUGGUAAAGACGUUUAAAGCUGUGCUGCUAAAUUUCCUGUCUUUUGUUGUUGUUGUCUCACCUUUUACAUUCCUAAAUUUAUUUUGAGCAGUCCCCAAAUGGCGAAGUAGUAAAGUAAGCACGGUCUACCAGUUUGGUAACCAUCAUUCUUUCUAAAUGUCUUGCUCUGCAGAGAAUACAGUGAUAAGAAAGCUCUUGUUUUGCUACAAAGAUCCUGCAGAGAUGAAAGUCAGCACCAGCAACCUAUUACUUCUCAGAUCAAAGACAGUUGGGAAAACACAAAAUUUACUCAGCAUAAUAUUGAUUGAUCUAGAAUUACUGCCACGUAUGCAUCCAUAUGGCACUUUUCUUACCCAUUUAGCCUUUGAGAUAAUUGACAAACUUAGCUUAUAACAAAUAUAUUUAUUUCAUAUUUUGUUUAUCCUUUUUGUAUUACUUCAGCUCUACUGUAAUUUUGAGCCACAACAUAUGAGAUGCAUGCUGUGUCCGCAAACAGAGAAGUAUAACUUCGGAGGGAGAGACUGCUUAUUAGUUUGAGGUUUGCUUAAUUUUAUUUUUUUUAUUUUUCAAAUGCUGACUCAAAACACAUGUAAACAAGUAAUAAGAAUGCCUUAUU